ensembl:lncRNA
GAAAACCGUAUCUGCCACCACCUCCGUUGUCAAGUAUUGGAGCAAAUAUACAACACAAAUUUAUCCGCGCAGAGGAGCAGUGCCGAAGCACAAAUCUGCAUGACUCUGCAAGUAACUUGCAAUCUUAUGUUUCAAACAGAGAUCGCAAUAGAGAGGCAAAACCUUUGUAAGCAAGGAAUUUGAAGUAAAUGGACCUUCCUAAAUUUUACUUGAAUACCCUGUCCUAGAACCUUUUGGACAAAUGAUAAAUUUGUGAAAAACCCCCAAAACAAAACAAAAUCAAAACAAGAAUCCAGCUUGUGAUAUGAGCAAAAGUCAUAUCUGGCACAUAUUUUAUUUUAUAUUACAAAAAGGGAAGAAAGGAACGCUACAAAUUGAUAAUUUAUACAAAUACAACACACUUAAAUUUUUUUUAAGUAAACUCUCAGUGCUCAAUAAGCACUCUUCUGCGAUGACCCCCCUGACUGAAAUCCCUGAGGAAAUUCAAACACACGCAAGACUCAUGUUUAAUGUGGUAAAGAUGCACUACUUUCGCACGUAAUGGUAUAGCUGAGUAUAGCUACACACUGCAUGGUCUGAACACAGUCUUAGCCAUUUAAAUCCAUCAUGAGCCAAGAUUUAUGGAGAGGAGAUGGGCUGUGGUGAGGUCAAAUACAGGGAGAAGCAAAGGAACAAUGAUAGUGGCACAAUGCUUGCAUUUUUCCUUAAUUAUAAUCCAGUAAGCCUGAUUGUAAAAUAUGCUUAUGUUAUUGAGAUUAUAGAUGAAUGCCCAUCGUAAAACACAACAACAAAAAAACCCCAACUGAUUUAAGAGUAGGGCAGUUAACAGGUUGGCUAUUUCUACCCUAUUAUAAAUAGCAAUGUGCUUACAAAAAUGGCUCUGAAAGAAAGAAUAGAUGGAUAUCAGUUACUUGGUUAUACAACACAGUGCCAGCUGGUUUAUUAUUAGUUUUUUUUUUUCGUUUUUUUUUUCGUUUUUUUUUUUACAAGACACCACAAUGGAAAUAAAUUAAAAUCUGAUAAACAUCCAAUAAUAUGCCUUUCAAAUAUAGUGAGCAAACUUAUUUAAAAAAAAAAUAAAAAAUAAAAUAAAAGCUGAAUAUUCUUCAUGAUUUGAAAUAAACAAGAAAAACAUGAGCUAGUGGUAGGGUUGACUACAGUACAUGAAAGUUAAUUACAAGUAAUAUAUUUGCACACGAUACGUACAAAUAUUAACAUCUGAAAUAAAAACAGAGAAAAAAAUGAUAGAAAGAGAAGUGGAUGUUAGGAUUUAGUGAUUUCUGGCUCACUGUUCUUCGCGAAAUCUCAGGUAUAUUUUACAUAAUGGCAUAUAUUACGUUUACUUUAUACACUAAAAUUCAGUAUGAGUGAUAAAAUCACAAAAAUUAAACACCAAGAUGACAUAUAAACAAUCCCUUACAAACCUAUGGCUGUGCAUUGUUAGAUGAGUGUAAUGCGGUUUAUAUUUGGUUAGGAGACACUCAGAGCUUUGCAUCUGACACAAUUCGGCUACAGUUUUGCUGUGAAACCAAGUGAAAGGCAAUCAGAAGAACAUGGCCAUGUAGUAGCUCAAGCGCUUCCUGUUUAGCACUGUUGCAUCAACGAAUUGUUUUCCAACUGGCAGAGCUUUUAGCUAAACGUUUGGCUCAGAGAGGCUUUGUUCUGACAGAGCAGAGAAAAAAAUGUCUUUAAUCAGGGGAUAUUUGUGGAAUCAUACUGCUGGAGGAACAUGAAGCCUGGUGCCAGCUUGGAAAUACAUGGGCUGUAGGUGAUGCUCUG